rnacentral:rRNA from 1 species
GGGGAAUUUUCCGCAAUGGGCGAAAGCCUGACGGAGCAAUACCGCGUGAGGGAGGAAGGCUCUUGGGUUGUAAACCUCUUUUCUCAGGGAAUAAGAACUGAAGGUACCUGAGGAAUCAGCAUCGGCUAACUCCGUGCCAGCAGCCGCGGUAAUACGGAGGAUGCAAGCGUUAUCCGGAAUGAUUGGGCGUAAAGCGUCCGCAGGUGGUUUAUCAAGUCUGCUGUCAAAGAGUUUGGCUCAACCAAAUAAAGGCAGUGGAAACUGACAGACUGGAGUGCGGUAAGGGCAGAGGGAAUUCCUGGUGUAGCGGUGAAAUGCGUAGAGAUCAGGAAGAACACCGGUGGCGAAAGCGCUCUGCUGGGCCGUAACUGACACUGAGGGACGAAAGCUAGGGGAGCGAAUGGGAUUAGAUACCCCAGUANUCA